UACGUAGGGCGCAAGCGUUGUCCGGAAUUAUUGGGCGUAAAGAGCUCGUAGGCGGCCUGUUACGUCUGCUGUGAAAUCCCGGGGCUUAACCCCGGGCGUGCAGUGGAUACGGGCAGGCUGGAGGCAGGCAGGGGAGAACGGAAUUCCCGGCUGUAGCGUGAAAUGCGCAGAUAUCGGGAGGAACACCGGUGGCGAAGGCGUUCUCUGGCCUGUACUGACGCUGAGGAGCGAAAGCGUGGGGAGC
rnacentral:rRNA from 1 species